CGAAAGUCAUACACUUUUAAAUUUCUGCUAUUUCAAUAAAAUUGCAGUUGAUGUGUUCCGUCACUUGUCUGCAAAAUGACCAUUUUAAUUUGCUUGAAUUUGCUCUGAUUUUCAGGUGGUCUCUGAGGUAACAUAACUACUGUUCGGAUUUGCAGGUGCUCCCCAAAGUAGUGUUGCUACUACUGGGAUUUGCAGGUCCUCCUUGAGGAAAGAAUAGUCAGGAGCCUUGAGAUUCUUCAAAGGACUUGAUACUCGACAUUUGAAUCCUGAAUGUGGGGGAACUGCUAUUGACUUCUCCAGAGACAGCAGCCAGUGGCUACAUGUGAAAGUGAUUCAGCACGCUAGUUGGAAAAACAGGACUGCACAAAGAGUGUGGGGGCCAAACCAUUUGCUGCCCACUGCUGAGAACAGGGAACCCACAGUCAGCAGGACUGAUGUAAAAGACUUAGAGAGCUAUAGGCAGAAAUUUACAUCUCUAUCCUCUUGUGAACAGCGUCCAACAGCCACCUAUGCCAUGGAAGGAGUAGGACAUACAGAGUAGGGGAGAGGACCAUCGGCCUAAAGAAUGCUAACAUCCACAUUGGAUUGAGGCUCUCAGACAUUAAUUAACCAUGGGGAUGAUUCUUCACAGACAUGCCCACAGACCAAUCUGAUACAGAUUGUUCAAUGGAGAAUCUUUUCAGAUACUGAAUGAGUGCCAGUCAAUCUUUAUCCUUUAGUACUGGAUCCUGUGCUGGGAGAAGUCACAUCCAUGUGAUGCUUGAUUGCAUCAAUAUAUCACAUUGAGGGGCUGACCUGUGCCAUUUAGAAUUGUAUGAAUAUACUUGGUGCUGUUUGCACAAUGAUUGAACGGAAUAAUGACUCAUUUCCAGGAUUUCCCAUUACUAAUAAUACACAAUUAUAUGGUUCAUUGUUUUUGUCUCUUCAACUGCUCCAGAGUAUAUGUGUG
rnacentral:lncRNA from 1 species